GUGUUUGUGUGUGUGUGUGUGUGUGAGUUAAAAGGAUUGCAAGGUGGGGAUGGUAUUAGUGGCGGUUGUGGCGGCGGUGGUGGUUGUGGAAUAUUUUUGGCAGUCGGUGUAUAUUUAUUAUGUAGAAUAAACGACGGAUCGACUGCCUGUUCUUGAGUUGCAGCUAAAUUGGAUAGAGUGAGAGACAGAGAGAGAGAGGGAGGGAGCUGAUCCAGAGAAGCAGGCUAAGAUAGAGGGAGGGAGGGAGAGAGAGGAAGGCAGAUAAAUAGAGGAGGGAGGGAGGGAGAAAGAGAGGAAGGCAGGGAAAUAGAGGGAAGGGAGGGAGGAGAGAGAGAGAGGAAGGCAGGGAAAUAGAGGGAAGGGAGGGAGAGAGAGAGAGGAAGGCAGGGAAAUGGAGGAAGGGAGGGAGAGAGAGGAAGGCAGGGAAAUAGAGGGAAGGGAGGGAGAGAGAGAGAGGAAGGCAGGGAAAUGGAGGAAGGGAGGGAGAGAGAGGAAGGCAGGGAAAUAGAGGGAAGGGAGAGAGUGGGAGACGAAGGAGUGAGAGGAGGAGGGAGAAUCGGAUAGAUGAAGAGAAGCGAGGGAGGGGCGAGAGAAAGGGACAAGGUAGAAAGAGGUAGGGAGGGAGAAAGAGAGAAACAGCUAUAUAUAUAGAGAGAGAGAGAAAGAAAGAGAGACGAGGUGGGAGUGAGUGAGAGGGACAGAGAGAGAUCGACUGUGCGUUUGUGUACGUGUGUGUGUGUGUAUAUAUAUAUAUAUGUGUGUGUGUGUGUGUGUGUUAGCUGCAGGGUCGCUACUUUCUUCUACGUUGGACGUCUUAUUACAUCGACUGCUGCUGUAUCUGCCGCUGCUGCCAUUAUUGACGUUGAUACUUAUGAUGAUGAUGGUGAUGAUGAUGAUGAU
rnacentral:lncRNA from 1 species